GUGGGGAAUCUUCCGCAAUGGACGAAAGUCUGACGGAGCAACGCCGCGUGAGCGAAGAAGGUUUUCGGAUCGUAAAGCUCUUUCGUUAGGGACGAACGUGCUCUUUGUGAAUAAUUAGGAGUAAUGACGGUACCUAAAUAAGAAGCCACGGCUAACUACGUGCCAGCAGCCGCGGUAAUACGUAGGUGGCAAGCGUUGUCCGGAAUUAUUGGGCGUAAAGCGCGCGCAGGCGGGAUAUCAAGUCUGUCUUAAAAGUGCGAGGCUCAACCUCGUGAGGGGACAGAAACUGGUAUUCUUGAGUGUCGGAGAGGAAAGUGGAAUUCCAAGUGUAGCGGUGAAAUGCGUAGAGAUUUGGAAGAACACCAGUGGCGAAGGCGACUUUCUGGACGAUGUCUGACGCUGAGGCGCGAAAGCUAGGGGAGCGAACGGGAUUAGAAACCCGUGUAGUCC
rnacentral:rRNA from 1 species